GUGUCAGUCGCCGCGGUAAUACGGAGGGUGCAAGCGUUAAUCGGAAUUACUGGGCGUAAAGGGCGCGUAGGCGGCGUGUCACGCCGGGUGUGAAAGCCCCGGGCUCAACCUGGGAAUGGCAUCCGGAACGGGCAGGCUAGAGUGCAGGAGAGGAAGGUAGAAUUCCCGGUGUAGCGGUGAAAUGCGUAGAGAUCGGGAGGAAUACCAGUGGCGAAGGCGGCCUUCUGGACUGACACUGACGCUGAGGUGCGAAAGCGUGGGUAGCAAACAGGAUUAGAUACCCCCGUAGUCC
rnacentral:rRNA from 1 species